GACGAACGCUGGCGGCGUGCUUAACACAUGCAAGUCGAACGGAAAGGCCCUGCUUUUGUGGGGUGCUCGAGUGGCGAACGGGUGAGUAACACGUGAGUAACCUGCCCUUGACUUUGGGAUAACUUCAGGAAACUGGGGCUAAUACCGGAUAGGAGCUCCUGCUGCAUGGUGGGGGUUGGAAAGUUUCGGCGGUUGGGGAUGGACUCGCGGCUUAUCAGCUUGUUGGUGGGGUAGUGGCUUACCAAGGCUUUGACGGGUAGCCGGCCUGAGAGGGUGACCGGCCACAUUGGGCCUGCGAUACGGCCCAGACUCCUACGGUAGGCAGCGGUGGGGAAUAUUGCACAAUGGGCGGAAGCCUGAUGCAGCAACGCCGCGUGCGGGAUGACGGCCUUCGGGUUGUGAACCGCUUUCGCCUGUGACGAAGCGUGAGUGACGGUAAUGGGUAAAGAAGCACCGGCUAACUACGUG
rnacentral:rRNA from 1 species